UGACUGUACAAAGGUAGCAUAAUCAUUAGUCUCUUAAUUGGUGACUUGUAUGAAAGAUUGGAUGAGAUAUAAACUGUCUUAUUUUUAUUUAUAGAAUUUAAUUUUUUAAUUAAAAAGUUAAAAUUUUUUUAAAAGACGAGAAGACCCUAUAGAGUUUUAUAUAUAAUUAGUUAAAAAUUUUUUUAUUAAUAUUAAAUUUAAAUUAAGAAAUAUAUUUUGUUGGGGUGAUAGAAAAAUAAAAAUAACUUUUUUUAUAUUAUAUUUAUUUAAUUUAUAAAUUAAAAUGAAUAAUUUACAUUAAUAUUUGAAUAAAUGAUCCAUAAAUUAUGAUUAAAAGAUUAAAUUACCUUAGGGAUAACAGCGUAAUUUUUUUUUUUAGUUCAAAUAAGAAAAAAGUUUGCGACCUCGAUGUUGGAUUAAGAUAAAAUUUAAAUGCAAAAGUUUA
rnacentral:rRNA from 1 species